rnacentral:rRNA from 1 species
UACGAAGGAUCCAAGCGUUAUCCGGAAUCAUUGGGUUUAAAGGGUCCGUAGGCGGUUUAGUAAGUCAGUGGUGAAAGCCCAUCGCUCAACGGUGGAACGGCCAUUGAUACUGCUAGACUUGAAUUAUUAGGAAGUAACUAGAAUAUGUAGUGUAGCGGUGAAAUGCUUAGAGAUUACAUGGAAUACCAAUUGCGAAGGCAGGUUACUACUAAUGGAAUUGACGCUGAUGGACGAAAGCGUGGGUAGCGAACAGG